rnacentral:rRNA from 1 species
AUGUAAGCUAUCACUAGUAACCCUUGAAUAAACACCUUUGUUGCUUUGGCGGGCCGCCUCCCAGGCCAGCGGCUCCGGCUGCUGCGCGCCCGCCAGAGGACCCCAACUCUUGAUUUUUUCGUGAUGUCUGAGUACUAUAUAAUAGUUAAAACUUUCAACAACGGAUCUCUUGGUUCUGGCAUCGAUGAAGAACGCAGCGAAAUGCGAUAAGUAAUGUGAAUUGCAGAAUUCAGUGAAUCAUCGAAUCUUUGAACGCACAUUGCGCCCUCUGGUAUUCCGGGGGGCAUGCCUGUUCGAGCGUCAUUAUAACCACUCACGCCCUCGCGUGGUCUUGGGGCUCGCGGUUCCGCGGCCCCUAAAGCUAGUGGCGGUGCCUGUCGGCUCUACGCGUAGUAAUACUCCUCGCGAUUGAGUCCGGUGGGUGACUAGCCAGCAACCCCCAAACUUUUUUCAGGUUGACCUCGGAUCAGGUAGGGAUACCCGCUGAACUUAA